rnacentral:rRNA from 1 species
AUUGAACGCUGGCGGCAUGCUUUACACAUGCAAGUCGAACGGCAGCACGGGGGGCAACCCUGGUGGCGAGUGGCGAACGGGUGAGUAAUAUAUCGGGAACGUACCCGGAAAUGGGGGAUAACGUAGCGAAAGUUACGCUAAUACCGCAUAAUGCCCUAAGGGGGAAAGCGGGGGAUUCGCAAGAACCUCGCGUUUUCGGAGCGGCCGAUAUCGGGAUUAGCUAGUAGGUGAGGUAAAGGCUCACCUAGGCGACGAUCCGUAGCUGGUCUGAGAGGACGACCAGCCACACUGGAACUGAGACACGGUCCAGACUCCUACGGGAGGCAGCAGUGGGGAAUUUUGGACAAUGGGCGGCAAGCCUGAUCCAGCCAUGCCGCGUGAGUGAAGAAGGCC